GGUGGUUCUCAGGUGACGCACCCCAGAAUCAGGCUCCCUCCUCUCUAGUACCAGGUGCGUCACCUGAGAACCGCC
rfam:Myotis lucifugus cont2.11811, whole genome shotgun sequence.